rnacentral:rRNA from 1 species
UACGAAGGGGGCUAGCGUUGCUCGGAAUUACUGGGCGUAAAGCGCACGUAGGCGGCUUCUUAAGUCGGUGGUGAAAUCCUGGAGCUCAACUCCAGAACUGCCUUCGAUACUGGGAAGCUCGAGUCCGGGAGAGGUGAGUGGAACUGCGAGUGUAGAGGUGAAAUUCGUAGAUAUCGGGAGGAACACCAGUGGCGAAGGCGGCGACCUGGACGGACACUGACGCUGAGACGCGAAAGCGUGGGGAGCAAACAGG